rnacentral:rRNA from 1 species
UACGGGGGGGGCAAGCGUUGUUCGGAAUUACUGGGCGUAAAGGGCUCGUAGGUGGCCAACUAAGUCAGACGUGAAAUCCCCAGGCUCAACUUGGGAACUGCGUCUGAUACUGGAUGGCUUGAAUCCGGGAGAGGGAUGCAGAAUUCCAGGUGUAGCGGUGAAAUGCGUAGAUAUCUGGAGGAACAUCGGUGGCGAAGGCGGCAUCCUGGACCGGUAUUGACGCUGAGGCGCGAAAGCCAGGGGAGCAAACGGG